rnacentral:miRNA from 14 species
AUCCCGGACGAGUCCCCAAAUGAAAGAUCCCCGAAGAGAGACCCUUAUUCAAGUCUUGGGAAAUCGUGGACCCCAGACACAGAGAGACCA